rnacentral:rRNA from 1 species
UACGUAGGGUGCAAGCGUUGUCCGGAAUUAUUGGGCGUAAAGAGCUCGUAGGCGGUUCGUCGCGUCGGCUGUGAAAUCCCGGAGCUCAACUCCGGGUCUGCAGUCGAUACGGGCGGACUUGAGUUCGGCAGGGGAGACUGGAAUUCCUGGUGUAGCGGUGAAAUGCGCAGAUAUCAGGAGGAACACCGGUGGCGAAGGCGGGUCUCUGGGCAUUACCUGACGCUGAGGAGCGAAAGCCAGGGGAGCGAACGGG